AGAGAAUUUUGUAGUCAAAGUAAACGCAGAUUCUAGUGUCUGACUACAAGCAGGCUGAGGGAACGUCUUCCGCUGAUUCGACCAAUCCGAUGCGAAAUGGGCGGAGCAGGAUCAUCCAGCCAAUCAGCGUUGACGGUUGGCGCAUGUCGCUGUUUGCCAGUAACUACUGUGGAGAGAGUAGAGAGCGGCGGAGAAGCAAAAUCGGAGAAGCAGUGAAAAUACGGAGUAAAAGCAACGUUUUGGUCGUCGCUUCGUCGCUUUGGUGUGUUGGCGCUCUGAGAAACGUUAUUACUGAAGACGUCUGGUUGAUGAAACAAGCUUUGGCGCUGGUUGCCCAACGCGAGUGAGGCAGGAAGGUUUCCUUGUUCAGCUGCUGGACAGCCUGGACAGAAACACCAGCUCUCACCUGACAAACCAAACAGGUGUCACCAAGUUCUUAGAGACCAGGACUGAGGCCUCCAGGUGUCUCCACUUCGUCCAUGACAUUGUCCAUGCAGACACAUGCAAAAGUCGGUAGUGAUGAAGUUCCCUGAUUUGACGGCAUUGCCCGCAAUCAGAGAUAUUGUGUGUGAUCACAGAGACUUUGUCCACGAUCAGAGAGUCUUCGUACAAUGAAGAAGUUCUUUGAGACCAGGACAGAGGCCUCCAGGAUUCAAACUUCAACCGUUAAAUCACCAAGCGAAGAGACAGAUGAGAGGACGUUUCCAAAAGGUCUUCAGCUGCUGUGCAUCUCCUCCUGCAGACACAAGAACACCUGUGAAUCUAAAUAUUUUUAUUCUGACAUUUUUGACGCCUUACUAUGACAUGCAGCGUUUCCAUAGACGCACACAUUGACCUGUCUACACUGUUUGUGGGUCACGCUAAAUUUUCAUUUUAGUAUUUUGCUCUUUCAAACACUGCAAUAUCAGUACUCAAAUCCGAUCUAUUACUGUGUACAUAGUCCCAUUUAUACCAUUCAUAUUGUUUCUAAUUAUUUUGACUUUUUUUUUUUUGUUUUUACAUUUGCAACACUGAAUUUCCCUGUUGUGUGACUGAUAAAGGAUUAUCUUACUCAAAUAAAUACUUUUAAAAACA